CUGCUAAGCAGAUUUUUAUUGGGGUAUUUUUUCUAAGCAAUAGAUUGGUACUUUAUUUUAUUUUUUGGAUUUAGAUUAUUUUUUUUUCUGGAUGUAGAGAUUUGGAGUAGAUGUGAGCUUACCACACUCUGUGUUCUUGUCAAUUAAAAGUAAAUCACCCCGAUGCUAAGUGAUAGAACUGAUGGAUUUCAAGCUAAAGAUUAAUGGAUUUCAGAUCCCCCAAAAUUCGGUGAUGUUUGAAUCCUUUUAUGGGCAUCUCUUUCCAUUCACCGCUCUACAGCCCCCACCUUCCUAGCAUGUAAAACUGAUGGCCUAACAACCACCAUCUCUCCCAACCAUCAGCUACUACAGUUUGCAAUCCAUAUUAGAAAUCGUUGCCAAUUUCCUAGGUGUAAAAAACCAGUCGCCGCCAACAGUGCUGCCAUCAGUUACCGUGAUCCCCCCUCAGCCAUGCCCGAUCUGAGUUUCUUUCAUUAUAUAUACAGUUUUACUGCCAUAGUCAAUUUUCAUCAAGCUGAUUUCAGGGUUACUAUUAAAAUAUUAUGUUUCCUUUCUCAUUUCUGGUUAUCUGAAGUUGGCUCUAAUUCUGGUUUUAAUUCAAUUUUCUUAUUUUCAGUAUCGCUGAACGGAUUUCAGAGGGGUUGAAGCCAACGGCAUCUCAAAAUAUGCAUAAAUGAACUUUCGAACUUUUGCUAGAGGAAGUAUUAUUGUCGUAAUUUUGUUUAUGGAUUGAAUUUUUGUUUAUUAAUAUCGUAGAUCGUUGUUUUUGUUUUAACUUUACUUGGAAUAUUAGUGUUAAAGCUUCGGACCACUUCUUGAAUAUCAAAUUUUGUUGUUUACUUUGCUGUGGUACGAAAGAUAGAUGUGAACUGCUUAAGUCGAACAGGGAGGUUGCUCUUCAUCCAUAAAUCAUCUUCUCCACAUUACUGAUCUGUGUUAAACUGAACUUGUGUUGAUUAAGUCAAUUAUUUCAUACGUAGAGAGAAUUUACUGGGGAUGGAAGGCAGUAAGAAGGGAGAGAACGGACAGGUAAGCCCUACAACAAUUGAUGAAAUGUGAAGUGAUACAAGUUUAUAUUGGACGUUAACCCACUGAAACCUCCUUUCUUCUAGUCUCU